UACGUAGGGUGCAAGCGUUGUCCGGAAUUAUUGGGCGUAAAGAGCUCGUAGGCGGUUUGUCACGUCGGCCGUGAAAACUCGGGGCUCAACCCCGAGCCUGCGGUCGAUACGGGCAGACUAGAGUGCUGUAGGGGAGACUGGAAUUCCUGGUGUAGCGGUGAAAUGCGCAGAUAUCAGGAGGAACACCGGUGGCGAAGGCGGGUCUCUGGGCAGUAACUGACGCUGAGGAGCGAAAGCCAGGGGAGCAAACGGG
rnacentral:rRNA from 1 species